rnacentral:sRNA from 1 species
UCCAGUGAGGCGACAGACAUCGACACCGA